CCACACCAGUGUGCUCAGUGCUCACUGCUCACCAUAAUAACGCUGCACCUCUUUUCAUUUCACCAUCUCCUGCCCCCUUAAAAAAAAGACUCACCGUCGACACGCCCUCCCGUCCCGAGAGUUCUGAAUCGAAACCGUCGGCCACGAGAGCAGUGCGAGGCGCCCACCGCGAUGGCUCGAACCAAGCACCAGGCCGUGAGGAAGACGGCGGAGAAGCCCAAGAAGAAGCUCCAGUUCGAGCGCUCAGGUGGUGCGAGUACCUCGGCGACGCCGGAAAGGGCUGCUGGGACCGGGGGAAGAGCGGCGUCUGGAGGUGACUCAGUUAAGAAGACGAAACCACGCCACCGCUGGCGGCCAGGGACUGUAGCGCUGCGGGAGAUCAGGAAGUACCAGAAGUCCACUGAACCGCUCAUCCCCUUUGCGCCUUUCGUCCGUGUGGUGAGGGAGUUAACCAAUUUCGUAACAAACGGGAAAGUAGAGCGCUAUACCGCAGAAGCCCUCCUUGCGCUGCAAGAGGCAGCAGAAUUCCACUUGAUAGAACUGUUUGAAAUGGCGAAUCUGUGUGCCAUCCAUGCCAAGCGUGUCACAAUCAUGCAAAAGGACAUACAACUUGCAAGGCGUAUCGGAGGAAGGCGUUGGGCAUGAUAUAUAAUAUCCAUUCUGAUUGCAUCAUUCUUGUGAAUUUGUUUGUAGGAGCUAGACAUUAGUGUUGUUGAAUGCUGCAUGGUUCCUAAUCCUUUUCGCAGUCUAACAUCUGUGGAGUUAGUAUGUUACAUGGCAACAGCUGAACAUCUGUGGACUAUAUGGCAACAGCCGAAGAUUGUGUCUGUGGGAUAACUGGUUGUUUUGGUUGCUCUUCAGUAGUUUGUUUGCUUCAGUCUGCAGUAUGGACUAUGGAGUAAACUGCAUGCUGAAACCCGAACCACUGCUGAAACUGCAUGCUGAAACCCGAACCACUGCUACGGCAGUUGCCAGGAUAGCAGGAGGGCCUUUAUGCACAGUGGAAUUGAGUAGAGAACUGAGUAAACCAUGGUUCUUUCUCCUUUUGAACUGGAACACACACAGUUGGAUCUUGUUUCUCUUCUUAGGCCAUUCAUCGUGUUUAUUAGGGGUGUAAAUGGUACAAAUAUUAUCUGUCCGUAUUCGAAUUUGAUCUAUCUAAGAAGGUUGAAAUCC